CCUCGGGGAUGGGUGACACCCCACAUGCAUUUCAGGGUUUUAUGGCUCCCUGUUUAAAACCAGCUCACGAGGUGAUACGAGGUUAUGCCAGCGCGUCCGAACCUAAAGAGCAGUGACUUUGCAGCCGCCUGAACUUUGCUAACUGGAAAGAGCCGGCUGACUCCUCCCCUGACCGCCGGCCGGCCUCCCUCCCUCUAAUUUAACGAAAGACACUUCCCAGCUAAAAAAACUAAAGACGCUAAAUUUCGUGCUGUUUCUGUUCAAUGCAAAACCUGGGUAAAAUCCCACAGGGAUUUUUGCAACACGUCUUUGUGGGGUGCCUCCUCGGUGAGCAAGCUUGUUCGGCAGGUGCCCGCGCCACGCACGCCGCCGCCGCCCGCUGGCGCGCAGCCACGGCGCGCGGCGCCUGGGCCACGCCUUGCGAUGCCUCUGCGGACUGAGGAGGGCCCAGCACCUGUGGUGGGAAAGUUCCCGGUCCUCGCCGACAGAAGGCCCCAGAAGACAAGAGAGAAGGUGUGGGACCCUUUCUCUUUCUAGCCGCCUCCCUCCCCGGGCCAGUGGGGAGAGGACGGAGGAGGGGUGCGAAGAAAGAGCAAAAUAAAGGUGUUCUAAGAAUCUUGGUGUUAAGCCCUCUUCGAUUUGAAUUGCUGGAAGGACACAAGAGGCCGGAAAGCUGAAAACACAUUCACCCAAUUCUCUUGAAGACGUCAUUUUUAUGGAUCACGUGCCUGCAUCGAGACUUGAACUCAGGACUGAGUAAGUAGAGAAUGAGUAUGCAGUGUGC